CGAAUUUUUCACCCGCAUCCGAUGUGUAACGACCUUCUUCGUUUACCAAACACAGCUUGUGAAAAAUCGUAAUCGUUGUUAUUUUAUGUGCAAAUUCGUAAGACGAUAGUAAGUGAAGAAAAAAUAAAAUGUUCCGCCAAAUGUUAGUCGCUAUUAUUGCUUUUUACUAUAUAGUACUUACAACGGACAAGUUGUUUUCAAGGCCAACGAGAAAGUCCUCAGACCCAUGAGCAGAGGCGUCAAUUCUGUAUCAUCUUUCUUGAGACUCGUCAAGGCUUUCAAUUCUAUUGGCAAACCAUGACAAUCCCAACCUGCAUGCCCCAUAUGAGGUACUCCAUUGGCAUAAGGUGGUCCAUCAUGCAGUAUAAAAUCAGGACCCUGCAAAUUUUCUCUUUGCCAAGUGUACAACUCUCCAAAUCCACAUUUCUGAAAAAUCAUUAUUUUUCCUAAUUGUCUAUUUCAUAAUGAAGAUAAAUAAAAUCUAAAGUGUAUGUGA